UAACCCUCAUCAACUGAAUCUUUCUGAACUC
rnacentral:piRNA from 2 species